rnacentral:rRNA from 1 species
AUUGAACGCUGGCGGCAGGCCUAACACAUGCAAGUCGAGCGAGCGGCGGACGGGUGAGUAAUGUCUGGGAAACUGCCUGAUGGAGGGGGAUAACUACUGGAAACGGUAGCUAAUACCGCAUACCAUCAGAUGUGCCCAGAUGGGAUUAGCAAGUAGGUGGGGUAACGGCUCACCUAGGCGACGAUCCCUAGCUGGUCUGAGAGGAUGACCAGCCACACGGGAACGGGGACACGGUCCGGACUCCUACGGGGGGCGGCAGUGGGGAAUAUUGCACAAUGGGCGCAAGCCUGAUGCAGACAGGCCGCGGGGAUGAAGAAGGCCUUCGGGUUGUAAGGUACUUUCAGCGGGGAGGCGUUACCCGCAGAAGAAGCACCGGCUAACUCCGUGCCAGCAGCCGCGGUAAUUC